rnacentral:rRNA from 1 species
CAUCAGGUGGGAUUACCCGCUGAACUUAAGCAUAUCAAUAAGCGGAGGAAAAGAAACUAACAAGGAUUCCCCUAGUAACGGCGAGUGAAGAGGGAAAAGCCCAAAUUUGUAAUCUGGCUCUUUUAGAGUCCGAGUUGUAAUUUUGAGAACUGUUUUCAGUGCUGGACCAUGUUUAAGUCUGUUGAAAAACAGCAUCAUUGAGGGUGAUAAUCCCGUUCAUGAUAUGGACUACCAGUACUUUAUGAUACAGUCUCUAAGAGUCGAGUUGUUUGGGAAUGCAGCUCAAAGUGGGUGGUAAAUUCCAUCUAAGGCUAAAUAUAGGUGAGAGACCGAUAGCAAACAAGUACCGUGAGGGAAAGAUGAAAAGAACUUUGGAAAGAGAGUUAACAGUACGUGAAAUUGCUGAAAGGGAAACAAUUGAAGUUAGCCUUGUUAUUGUCAGUUCAGCUCUUUUAGAGUGUAUUCUGAUGAUUAACGACCAACAUCAGUCUUUGAGUGCUGGAUAAGGGUUUUGGAAAUGUAGCAGUCUCGGCUGUGUUAUAGUCCAUUACUUUGAUACAGUGCUUGGGAUUGAGGAUCGCAGUAAGCCAUUUUAUGGUGGACCAAAUUUUUGGUCUUCUUACUGAGGAUGUUGGUGAAAUAGC